GAUGAACGCUGACAGAAUGCUUAACACAUGCAAGUCAACUUGAACUUCGGUUUGGGUGGCGGACGGGUGAGUCACGCGUAAAGAACUUGCCUCACAGUUAGGGACAACAUUUGGAAACGAAUGCUAAUACCUGAUAUUAUGAUUUUAGGGCAUCCUAGAAUUAUGAAAGCUAUAUGCGCUGUGAGAGAGCUUUGCGUCCCAUUAGCUAGUUGGAGAGGUAACGGCUCACCAAGGCGAUGAUGGGUAGCCGGCCUGAGAGGGUGAACGGCCACAAGGGGACUGAGACACGGCCCUUACUCCUACGGGAGGCAACAGUGGGGAAUAUUGGACAAUGGACCAAGAGUCUGAUCCAGCAAUUCUGUGUGCACGAUGAAGUUUUUCGGAAUGUAAAGUGCUUUCAGUUGGGAAGAAAAAAAUGACGGUACCAACAGAAGAAGUGACGGCUAAAUACGUG
rnacentral:rRNA from 1 species